rnacentral:rRNA from 1 species
ACUCCUACGGGAGGCAGCAGUGGGGAAUAUUGCACAAUGGGCGCAAGCCUGAUGCAGCCAUGCCGCGUGUAUGAAGAAGGCCUUCGGGUUGUAAAGUACUUUCAGCGGGGAGGAAGGU